UUCCUUUAAUUAAUUUGAAUAUUGUUCUUAAUAUCUUCAGUAAUUUUGCUUCUCCAAUAAAUGUAUCUUGAUUUAAGAACGUUUAGAUAUUUGCUCUGGAAAAGACAAAAAGAAAAUACUAUCAAUGAAUGACUUAGUUUUAUAUUGUACUGUUGUUUCUCAUUUAAUGAUGUAUUUCAUGCUGUUUUUUUUCUUCUUUUUUUCUGAUUUUCCCAUAUUUUUUUGCUUCAAAUGAAAGAUUCAUCACAGAGCUGGUUGGUUUGUUCAAGGCUUACACGAAUCUACCUGUGGAGAAAAUGGUUUCAGAAGCCAGACCGCUGAAGAAGUAGCUUAAAGGCCUCAGUCUCCAUUCACUUCCAUUGUUUGGAGAAGAAGAACACUUGAGACAUUAUUCAAAGCAUCUUCUUUUGUGUUCCACAGAAGAAAUUAAGUCAUACAUGUUUGGAACGACAUGAGGGUAAACAUCCAAAGUGAACAUACUGUGUGAAGGUAAAUUUUCCAUCACACAGAUUUGUAAGGUUGUAUGUAUGUGUUUUUAUUUCAAUCAUUUGCUUCACUUACAGCAGUGAGGAUCAGACUAAAUUUACAUUUAUUCAUUUAUCAGAUGCUUUUGUCCACCAAAGUGAGAAGAAUAAUACAAUCUGAAACAAUUAAUCUAAGGAAGACAGCAAUACAAGCAGAAUAUGCUGAAAAAUAAUAAAUAAUAAUGUUAUUUUUUCGUUCUGUCUAUAAACCCUGUAUUAUAUUGCAGUUCCUAAUGAAGUUACCAUCCAACUUAAAAGUACUUUACAUUUAUUUACUCUCCAAAGCCAUUCUUAUUUUAUUUGGCAUUGGUUGAGUGUUAAUUUUGGACCCUUCCUGUAGCUAUAGAGUCAGGUGCUUUACGCUGGUGGUCCCACAUCCCACAACGCAGGUGCCUUUCAGCACAAACUCACACUGCAGCUGCUCACAGGAAUACGGAGGUUCCUCUUUCCUCUGGUUCAGUCACACACACAUCUGUUUGCUUUGCACAUUUCUUCCACACCCUCACUUGUUUUUAUUCUCUUUUACACACCCUGUUUAUUACAAUCUCCUCCAGUGCCUCUGCAUUAAUGUGUGUGUGUGUUCGACCCCAGGUUUUUUCAGGGUUGUAGUAGCAGCAGUUGCAUUGUGGGAUUGCGUGCCCUUGCCAUUGGGCCGGCUCUGAUCAGGCCUUUACUGUGGUCAGGGAAGGUUCUGAGGGACUCUUGUGGUCCUGAUCCAGUCAAAGACUCCAGCCGGAGCAGAUGUGUGAUGGGAAAACAGCAAACACAAACACACCAAACUAUGACCCAGAUCAACCAACAGAGCUAUAAUGACGACAAGGAAAAUCAUACAGUUUCUACACUGAACAAAGGACGUCUCUUCACCAUGAUGGUCAUGUGCUGGGAAAGCUGGAGACCAGAACGCUGUAAUACUCUGUGAAACUCACACAUCUGACAAUAUGAGGCUUCAACCGAUGUGCCCUCUUAAUAGAGACGCCGUCUCGCCCUCCUAACCUUCAGACAGCUGCGUAACAUGGCAUGAAAUCUCCUUCAUGGGAGAACUCCACAUGGACCCUCCAUCCAGACAACAUCUAAUUAUCCCAGCCGGAUCUAAGCGAGUUACGGCGGCCCUGGCCGCUCCCGCUGAAGGCUCGUGUCGAACAGUGUUCAUGAGGAGCCAAACCACAGUUUUUGGUGAGGUUUAGUAGCUGGCGGUCUGUAGACCCGCCCUGGUACCAGAACCAUGUGAAUGAGGAGCGGACAGCACACCAAAACAGAUCCUGGAUCAGAUGCAGCUGGUGCCCACAUCCUCACAAUGACAUUUACAGCCUUCUUGAGUGAAAACACUCACUCUGUCUUUCUUUUUCCUACCUUGUUCUUAUUUCAUUUUUAAUUAUGAGCCCAUUUAUUGAUUGUGAAAUUAGUUUGGCUGUAGGAAUAGUUCCUCACUGCUGUGUUCUUCAUCAGUGUUCUUGAUAUUUCAGGAAGAGACAGUGUCUUGUAUGUCCCACUGCCCAUCUGCCCUGAACACGUGUUCAUGUGCACCUGCCAGCACCUGUAACGCAUGUCCUGCUGAUUCAGAGUCAGAGCAGUCAGGAACAAGUGCACUCAUUAGGUCAGACGGGACUCCUGACGUGUCGGGACGCCCUCCAGAGCAUUUGAACAGCUCUUGAACACCUGAUGGCUCACCUGUGCAGAGGACACGGCUGUUUACUUGUUUGUUUGCUGUGAAUGCUUCCUAAUUAUACCAUAAUGAGGGUUUAUAAUUGUCACACAUCUUUUUUUCUUAUCCAGCAAAGUUCAAGAUAAGAAUUUGAUGCGUGUUUAGUACAGAAGAUUGGGGGCAAUGGUGACUUUUUUUCUCAUUUUCUCACAUACAAUGUAUUUCUGGUCACUGUUUGACUGAAACUAUGUAUUGUUGCAGAUCCAGAUGAAGAUAUUUACUUGCCAAGGCCAUUUUUUGUCAGUUUUCUUUCUUGAGAACUGUUCAUUUUGACCCUGGAUUCAGGUAACAGUUUCGUAUCUCAUAAUGUUGAAUUACCUUCAAGACACAAAACUUCAACUUCUGAAAUGUGAACCUCCACCUGUGUUUAAUCUGAGACACUGACUCAGUCUGUAAUUCUCCAUCCGUUUAUUUAUCGCUCUGGUGUUUAGGGAGGUUUGAAUGCUCUUUCUUUACCACUGAGAAAAUAUUUACUCAGUAUCAAGAGGCUGCUGAAGAUCUCUGCUUCUCAUUACAGGAGAGACGGACUGCAUCUGUGCGCCUGCUUUUUACUCUCCGUUUAAAGAUUCAUCAUUUCAGAUGAUGAUGUCAGAGCAGCGUGGCUCGGUCUCACGAGGGAAGAUUCUCACGUUCCAGCGCCGAG